GACGAACGCUGGCGGCGUGCUUAACACAUGCAAGUGGAGCGACGAACCGGGCUUCGGCCCGGGCAAAGCCGCGAACGGGUGAGUAACACGUGGGUAACCUGCCCCGAUGACCGGGACAACCCGAGGAAACUCGGGCUAAUACCGGAUGUGCUCGCAGCACAUCAGUGCAGCGAGUAAAGGAAGCUUCGGCCUCCGCAUUGGGAUGGGCCCGCGGCCCAUUAGCUUGUUGGUGAGGAAAAGCUCACCAAGGCAACGAUGGGUAGCUGGUCUGAGAGGACGAUCAGCCACACUGGGACUGAGACACGGCCCAAGACUCCUACGGGAGGCAGCAGUGGGGAAUACUUGCGACAAUGCGCGAAAGCGUGACGCAGC
rnacentral:rRNA from 1 species